rnacentral:tRNA from 1 species
GCCGGUGUGGUGAAAUUGGCAGACGCACUAGACUCAAAAUCUAGCGGGGGCAACUCCGUGCCGGUUCGACUCCGGCCACCGGCACCA